GAGGCCAAUGGCGGGUGCUAUACAUGCAGUCGAGCGAACAGAUCAAGGAGCUUGCUCCUUUGACGUUAGCGGCGGACGGGUGAGUAACACGUGGGUAACCUACCUAUAAGACUGGAAUAACUCCGGGAAACCGGGGCUAAUGCCGGAUAACAUUUAGAACCGCAUGGUUCUAAAGUGAAAGAUGGUUUUGCUAUCACUUAUAGAUGGACCCGCGCCGUAUUAGCUAGUUGGUAAGGUAACGGCUUACCAAGGCAACGAUACGUAGCCGACCUGAGAGGGUGAUCGGCCACACUGGAACUGAGACACGGUCCAGACUCCUACGGGAGGCAGCAGUAGGGAAUCUUCCGCAAUGGGCGAAAGCCUGACGGAGCAACGCCGCGUGAGUGAUGAAGGUCUUCGGAUCGUAAAACUCUGUUAUUAGGGAAGAACAAAUGUGUAAGUAACUGUGCACGUCUUGACGGUACCUAAUCAGAAAGCCACGGCUAACUACGUGCCAGCAGCCGCGGUAAUACGUAGGUGGCAAGCGUUAUCCGGAAUUAUUGGGCGUAAAGCGCGCGUAGGCGGUUUCUUAAGUCUGAUGUGAAAGCCCACGGCUCAACCGUGGAGGGUCAUUGGAAACUGGGAAACUUGAGUGCAGAAGAGGAAAGUGGAAUUCCAUGUGUAGCGGUGAAAUGCGCAGAGAUAUGGAGGAACACCAGUGGCGAAGGCGACUUUCUGGUCUGUAACUGACGCUGAUGUGCGAAAGCGUGGGGAUCAAACAGGAUUAGAUACCCUGGUAGUCCACGCCGUAACGAUGAGUGCUAAGUGUUAGGGGGUUUCCGCCCCUUAGUGCUGCAGCUAACGCAUUAAGCACUCCGCCUGGGGGAGUACGACCGCAAGGGUUGAAACUCAAAGGAAUUGACGGGGACCCGCCACAGCGGUGGAGCAUGUGCUUAAUUCGAAGCACGCGAGAACCUUACCCAAUCUUGACAUCUUUUGACACUCUAGAGAAUAGAAGCCU
rnacentral:rRNA from 1 species